rnacentral:rRNA from 1 species
UACGUAGGGUGCAAGCGUUGUCCGGAAUUAUUGGGCGUAAAGAGCUCGUAGGCGGUUUGUUGCGUCGGCUGUGAAAUCCCGAGGCUCAACCUCGGGUCUGCAGUCGAUACGAGCAAACUAGAGUGUUGCAGGGGAGACUGGAAUUCCUGGUGUAGCGGUGGAAUGCGCAGAUAUCAGGAGGAACACCGAUGGCGAAGGCAGCUCGCUGGGACGGUACUGACGCUGAGGCGCGAAAGCGUGGGGAGCGAACAGG